rnacentral:siRNA from 1 species
UGUAGAUCUCGGGAAAUGCGUA